UAGGCUUGUGCAGUGGGUUAUGAAGUAAUCUACAGGUGGCGCCACACGCAUCUUUUUAUUGAAUCAAUUAAGAUGUUAAAUUUAUCUGAGCCACAUGAUCAGCUCCUACACCUGACCUUUCUAUUUAGGAUGCUUUCAAGUCUUUACAUGGAUUUGACACCCAUCCUGUUCACUUUACAGCAUGCAAUUAUGUUCAGUGUUGGACACAGAGAUAUCCUGUUCUCUCUCUCUCUUUUUUUUUUUUUUUCUAUCAGAGGAGUCUUAACACCACCCUGACGACUGCACAGGUUUGGGUCAAUUUGCGGGAGCAGGCUAUUGUCCCAUCCCAGAAUUAGCAGCAUUCUGAUCCUUAACAUCUCAUGUUGCGAUCAGCCCUCUCGGCAUUGUUGUGCUCCUCUCUCAAAGUGAUGAUCAAAUCCUUUAAUGUCCGCGUUGAGGUCAUAAUCUACCCUUCCGAAAGUGCUUAUGCCACUAACAGAGGCCCCCGCGCUCUAUCGACAACUAUCCCCCAAUAAGUCUCCCAGUAUCCAAAAGUGGAGUUGCAUUUGCACCCUUUGGACUUAAGCUCUGUCUUGCCUGUAAUCUUCCGCGGGUCAGAUUGCAUCCUGAUGCUCUCAAAUCGCUCUAAUAGAGAGUAUCCUCUGCUCGGUGUCGGUACUAUAGGAAGGCCCUUAUUAUGCUCCUGUCUGUGGCAUAACUCUUUUAAUUGGUUGAUCUGCCUGGCGUCUCCAACCCUGGAGCGCGCGGAUUAGAGAGGCCGCUCGGUAGCCGCUGCUGCUGUGUGUGGACUUUUAUAGUCUCCUGAAAUGAUCCACUUCCAAACAUACAGAGACCCUCCCUCUCUAGCUGCCCCACACUGCAGACCACAAGUGUCAAGAUGCCUGCAGCCGUGAUUCCUGGAUCCUGACACCACCUUGGGUUGUUGGGUUCAUUGGUGCCAUUUUACGCGCUGCGGUCAGAGUUAAAAGGCCUGACUCUUGGGAGUUUUCCAAAACAGGUGAAGAUGAUAUUGUAUUCUGUCAUUGUAAGGGCUUAAAAGAUAAUAAAAAAGUUUACUUAGGUGUGAUUAACAGGAUACAAU